rnacentral:rRNA from 1 species
GUUGUAUAGUCAAGUAAUGAAGUGCACAUGGUGGAUGCCUUGGCAGUCAGAGGCGAUGAAAGACGUGACAGCCUGCGAAAAGCGUCGGGGAGGCGGCAAUAUCCUGUGAUCCGGCGAUAUCUGAAUGGGGAAACCCACUUGUCAUAAGACAGGUAUCGUAAAUUUAUUUACGAGGCAAACCGGGAGAAGUGAAACAUCUCAGUAACCCGAGGAAAAGACAUCAAUAGAGAUUCCCCUAGUAGCGGCGAGCGAACGGGGAGGAGCCGACUGAUUAUAAUUUAGAGGAAUGACUUGGAAAGGUCAAUCGU